UACGUAGGGGGCAAGCGUUGUCCGGAAUCAUUGGGCGUAAAGCGCGCGUAGGCGGCCCGGUAAGUCCGCUGUGAAAGUCCAGGGCUCAACCCUGGAAAGCCGGUGGAUACUGCCGGGCUAGAGUCCGGAAGAGGCGAGUGGAAUUCCUGGUGUAGCGGUGGAAUGCGCAGAUAUCAGGAGGAACACCAAUAGCGAAGGCAGCUCGCUGGGACGGUACUGACGCUGAGGUGCGAAAGCGUGGGGAGGCGAACAGGAAUUAGA
rnacentral:rRNA from 1 species